GACAGAGGGUGCAAACGUUGUUCGGAGUUACUGGGCGUAAAGCGUGUGUAGGCGGUCCACUAAGUCGGGUGUGAAAGCCCUGGGCUCAACCCAGGAAGUGCACUCGAAACUGGCGGGCUAGAGUAUCGGAGAGGUUGGUGGAAUUCUCGGUGUAGAGGUGAAAUUCGUAGAUAUCGAGAGGAACACCGGUGGCGAAGGCGGCCAACUGGACGAAUACUGACGUUGAGACACGAAAGCGUGGGGAGCAAACAGG
rnacentral:rRNA from 1 species